UACGAAGGGGGCUAGCGUUGUUCGGAAUUACUGGGCGUAAAGGGCGCGUAGGCGGUGUGUCAAGUCAGGCGUGAAAGCCCCGGGCUCAACCUGGGAACCGCGCUUGAGACUGGCACGCUCGAGUUCGGGAGAGGAUGGUGGAAUUCCCAGUGUAGAGGUGAAAUUCGUAGAUAUUGGGAAGAACACCAGUGGCGAAGGCGGCUCACUGGUCCGGUACUGACGCUGAGGUGCGAAAGCGUGGGGAGCAAACAGG
rnacentral:rRNA from 1 species